rnacentral:lncRNA from 1 species
GUUGCAGUAGUACAUUAAAGUAAAUAAGUUCAAAGGGGCGUAACUCCUAGAAAAAAAAUGAAUCGCAAUUUCCCGUCGAUAUGCACAACUACAUAGUAUUCCUUAUUAUCUGAAAAGGUUCGUGAAAUUCUGUUGUGUGGUUUGAGAGGAGUUGCGAUGACAAACUGUUGCAGUAGUACAUUGAAAUAAAUAAGUUCAAAGGGGCGUAACUCCUAGAAAAAAAAUGAAUCGCAAUUUCCCGUCGAUAUGCACAACUACAUAGUAUGUCCUUAUUAUCUGAAAAGGUUUCGUGAAAUUCUGUUGUGUGGUUUGAGAGGAGUUGCGAUGACAAACUGUUGCAGUAGUACAUUAAAGUAAAUAAGUUCAAAGGGCCGUAACUCCUAGAAAAAAAAUUGAAUCGCAAUUUCCCGUCGAUAUGCACAACUACAUAGUAUGUCCUUAUUAUCUGAAAAGGUUUCGUGAAAUUCUGUUGUGUGGUUUGAGAGGAGUUGCGAUGACAAACUGUUUGCAGUAGUACAUUAAAGUAAAUAAGUUCAAAGGGGCGUAACUCCUAGAAAAAAAAUUGAAUGGCAAUUUCCCCUCGAUAUGCACAACUACAUAGUAUGUC